ACUCUAUCGUCCUCCCGCUUCCGAAAUAUGAAGGCAUGGAUACAUGAUAUAUCUUUUCAUGUUUGUAUGCAGAUUGUAGAACUGUAGCAUUAAUUCUGUAGGGUCAGUACUCGUCAGCAUCUUUAGUAUUUCUUAAUCAUGAAUUUAUAUGGUUCAGUAGUCCAUAUCUUGAUUGCUGAAGUGUUUGCAUGGCAUGUUUUCUAAAAAUAGCUAGUUUAGGUCUGAUUACUGGGUAUGUGUGUGCAUGCGUUGUGCCUGUGAGUUGGGUGCCUCGUGUUUUUGCUGUCAAUUAAUAGCAUGUGUAGUUUCUUUUGGGGAAUCUUGAAUUAGAAUUGCGGACAAUGCUGUUAGCAAUCAAAUUUGUUCCGCAUAACUCUUAUUGUAGUUUCAUUGAGAAGUUCAUCAAUAAUUUGUUCAAGAUGAGUUAUAUCAAUGGCAGAAAGUGUUCCUGCUGUAUGCUGCUGUUGUUUUGUACUGUAUGCUUUAUCUGGAUAUUGAAGGAUGGUAUGGAUUAUUGUAUUGAGCGAUUGAAUUCAGUAUUGUUGGACGCAUUUGCGCAUUGAUUGUUCUUUUGGGUCUCUUUGUGCUGGGGGCCUGUGGCCCCAGCGGCUUUUUUUUAAUGUGAAUUGGGAGUAUUUUAUCCUACCAAAAAAAUACCAGUUAUGCCACUGUAUAUGUUCACUUCAGAUAUCCGCUGGCAAAAUUGAUCUUGGUCUUUGGAAAUCUUUGAGCUUAAAAUUAUCUUUUUCUUAUAUAUUCUGUGUCAAUAUUUCCUACGAAAGACAGUGCACCUCGAUGUAUUGUCCAUUUCGAGUUUAGACUUAAGGCAGGCCUAUUCGUUACAUGCUUUAUGCUAGGUAGUGUUGCUGCUAACUUUUGUUAUAGAAUUCUUCUUCUUAUAACAUAAUUUUCUGAAUUAGUGUCCUGUAUGAUUGUUCUUUAAGUUAUCAAACUGUAUAACUACUUUAUUUAUUAGUUCCUAUGCCAUGAAAGAACUUUCUGUAAGAGAUGUUGCAAUAGCGAAGCUAUGUGAUCAUUUUUCAUAUAAGCAUUGGUGCUUGUUAUGUCCCAACUCCACUUAGUUUGAUGGCAAAGCACGAGCACCUUACUAGUGUUUGAUAAAAUGUCUGAAUGAUUAGUUAUUGCAGUUUGCAGGUCUUCCUAACCACGACACGCACUAACUCUCAAGACAUCUCCUGUCCUGACAGUGCAGUGUGUGGGUCUUUUAUCUCUUUGAUUGAAUAGACUUCAUCGGGUUCGAUCACUCUCUACCAACCUGGGCUGAGGUUGGAAUACAAUGAGCACUAAGUUCAUUUUUGCUAUGGCUUUUAACAAAGUUUGAUAGGCCAUGAGAAUGGAAAACUCGUUGUCGGAAUGUUUUGGUAUUUCAAGCAAGUAAUCGAAAUGGUGGUGACUAUGCUGUUUGAAAAAUGGUCGGUAGAUCAUGACUGGAGAAAUUGUUAUUGGAAUCUUUUGUGCAUUUGAAGCAAGUUAUCAAGAAUGGGGCACAGGGGCUGAGGGGCACAGGCUGGGGCACAGGAGAAAUUGUUAUUUCAAGCAAGACGAGGCCAAAUGUUGGGCACAAGCUGGGGCACAGGGGCUGCGGGUUGUGCUACCAGCCUCCUGGGAUGUCCACUGAUCGGGCGUUGGGCCCUCAACUAUCACCUCCUAGGAGGCUGGUACUCUCCCAUCUUUUCAAUGCAAUGAAAUGCAAAGAUCCUUGGCGUUUUCCCGAAAACGUUAUCAAGAAUGGUUGAUGACCAUGCAAUUUGAACAAUGAUGAUCGUAGACCAUGAGAAGGAAACAAUGGGUUGUCAGUGUUGGCCAUCAAGUUCUUUUGUGAGGCAAUAUUUUUGAAGCCAACAUGCAAGCAAGUUCCGAAAGGAAUUAGUAUAACGAGAAUGGGCAAAAGAAGGAAAGUUGAUUCCACCCUAUAUCGGCUAUCCGAUCUACUUUCAAGUUAAUUGAAAGUAGUUGGCUAGCUGGAAUUUCCAAAGAAGUUCAAACUUCGGAGCAUAGAGACAACUAGAGGGCGAUUGUGGAAUUUUAUAGGAAAUUGUUCCAUACUUUUGAAACUUGUCCUAUGGUCUGGAGUAGAAUAGUAUGCAUGUAAAUAUUUUAUCUUCGUUAUUUCUUCCUACGUUUUGAUGUAAAUGUAACUGUUGAAGAAAAUGAAUUUCUAGGUUUCAA